rnacentral:rRNA from 1 species
AAAUUGAAGAGUUUGAUCAUGGCUCAGAUUGAACGCUGGCGGCAGGCCUAACACAUGCAAGUCGAACGGUAACAGGAAGCAGCUUGCUGCUUUGCUGACGAGUGGCGGACGGGUGAGUAAUGUCCGGGAAACUGCCUGAUGGAGGGGGAUAACUACUGGAAACGGUAGCUAAUACCGCAUAA